rnacentral:rRNA from 1 species
AUUGAACGCUGGCGGCAUGCCUUACACAUGCAAGUCGAACGGCAGCACGGGUGCUUGCACCUGGUGGCGAGUGGCGAACGGGUGAGUAAUACAUCGGAACGUACCUUAUCGUGGGGGAUAACGCAGCGAAAGCUGUGCUAAUACCGCAUACGCCCUGCGGGGGAAAGCGGGGGAUCGAAAGACCUCGCGCGAUUAGAGCGGCCGAUGCCUGAUUAGCUUGUUGGUGGGGUAAAAGCCCACCAAGGCGACGAUCAGUAGCUGGUCUGACAGGACGAGCAGCCACACUGGGACUGGAAGACGGCCCAGCCUCCUAGGGGAGGCAGCAGUGGGGAAUUUUGGACAAUGGGGGCAACCCUGAUCAAGCAAUGCCGGGUGAGUGUAGAAGGCCUUCGGGUUGUAAAGCUCUUUUGUCAGGGAAGAAACACCGGCUCUAACACAGUCCGGGAAUGACGGUACCUGAAGAAUAAGCACCGGCUAACUACGUGCCAGCCGCCGCCGUAA